rnacentral:rRNA from 1 species
UACGUAGGGUGCGAGCGUUGUCCGGAAUUAUUGGGCGUAAAGGGCUCGUAGGCGGUUUGUCACGUCGGGAGUGAAAACUCGGGGCUUAACUCCGAGCCUGCUUCCGAUACGGGCUGACUAGAGGUAUGCAGGGGAGAACGGAAUUCCUGGUGUAGCGGUGAAAUGCGCAGAUAUCAGGAGGAGCACCGGUGGCGAAGGCGGGUCUCUGGACCGAUACUGACACUGAGGAGCGAAAGCGUGGGGAGCGAACAGG